UACGUAGGGUGCAAGCGUUAAUCGGAAUUACUGGGCGUAAAGCGUGCGCAGGCGGUUCUGAAAGUCAGCUGUGAAAGCCCCGGGCUUAACCUGGGAACUGCGGUUGAAACUACAGGACUAGAAUCUGGCAGAGGGGGGUGGAAUUCCACGUGUAGCAGUGAAAUGCGUAGAGAUGUGGAGGAACACCGAUGGCGAAGGCAGCCCCCUGGGCUGAGAUUGACGCUCAGGCACGAAAGCGUGGGGAGCAAACAGG
rnacentral:rRNA from 1 species